rnacentral:rRNA from 1 species
GAGCAAUCCUGGCGGCGAGUGGCGAACGGGUGAGUAAUACAUCGGAACAUGUCCAGUAGUGGGGGAUAGCCCGGCGAAAGCCGGAUUAAUACCGCAUACGAUCUUUGGAUGAAAGCGGGGGAUCGCAAGACCUCGCGCUAUUGGGGUGGCCGAUGGCGGAUUAGCUAGUUGGUGGGGUAAAGGC